GAAACUCACCUGAACCUCACGAUGAUACGCGGUGUUAUUCUCGUCGCGGCGUGUCUGGCGGCGGUGGCUGCUCUGCCCAUUGAACUAAAUGAGAACAGAAUGGCGUAUGUAAUGGAUAACAUGACGGCCAUUUGGAGAGAGAUAGCGGAGAUUCGCCAGGAUAUCAACCUCCACCUCCACGGCGGCCACCAGGAAAAAAA